UGUCUGGCCGUGAACCUGCACAGAAAUGGAGCUCCGCUGACAGUUGCCGCAGGUAGGGUCUGCCCUGGUGGUGGCUGAGAAAGAAGUUCCUGGCCUCAGCUCUCCCGGGCUUACCACGGCUCUCCCAGGAAGGCAGUGCAUCAAGGAUGGGUGCCACCAACCACAGACCCAAGCGGGCCCUUCUGAGGCAUUCUGGUAGGCUCCACGCCCAGCAUGGAGCCCAACACAGGGCUCGAACCCACGACCAUGAGAUGAAGACCUGGGCCAAGAUCAAAAGUCAGACACUUAACCGACUGAGCCACCCAGUGCCCCCAUAUAAAAAUAUCUUAAAGAUUUUGAGGUAAGGAAUGAUUUCUACAAAAAAGAUGUAGAAAGCACCAACUAUAACGGAAGAGAUGGACACCAUUAAAAGGGUAAAAAGGCAAGCCACAAAGCAGAAGAGAUUUGCAAUACGCAUAACCAACAAAGGGCUAGGAUCCAGAACAUAGAAAGAGGUGCCAAUCAGUAAGAAAAAGACAAACAUUUAAAUUGUGAAAAAGGUGAAGGACCUGAACGGGCACGUAAGAAGAAAGAGGAAAUACAAAUGGCCAAUAAACAUGAGAAAGUGCCCAACCUUAGCAGUAGGCAGGGGAAUACAAAUUAAACCCACAAGGAGUUGCCUACCAGAUAGGCCAAGUGGAAGCAGAAGUUGGUGCUAUCACUGGGGAAGUCAGUCUGACCUUAUCUCGUGAAGUGGAAGAUAGGCCUGCCCUGUGGUCAACAGUGCCUUUGCUCAUACACACCAGGAGCACAUGUGAGAACAUUCUCAGCAACAUUGUUUCUUUCGGCUCAAAGUGUCCGGCGGCCGUGGCAUGGAUGAGUAAGCGUGAUGGAGUCAUAUAGCGAGUGUUAAUUGGUAACCAAAAAUGGAGUACAACUAGAUGCAACAACGUGGGUGAACGUAGAACGUAUGGUGACUAAAAAAAGCUAGCCUCAGUCGUUAGGCGUCUACCUUCGGCUCGGGUCGUGAUCCCAGGGUCCUGGG